rnacentral:rRNA from 1 species
UAAGACGAACCGUGCGAACGUUGUUCGGAAUCACUGGGCUUAAAGGGCGCGUAGGCGGACUGCCAAGUCAGGGGUGAAAGCCCGCGGCUCAACCGCGGAAGUGCCUUUGAUACUGGCGGUCUCGAGGGAGGUAGGGGCGUGCGGAACUUCCGGUGGAGCGGUGAAAUGCGUAGAUAUCGGAAGGAACACCGGUGGCGAAAGCGGCGCGCUGGACCUCUUCUGACGCUGAGGCGCGAAAGCCAGGGGAGCGAACGGGAUUAGAUACCCCGGUAGUCCUGGCCCUAAACGAUGGGUACUAGGUUGUGGACUUACAUGGGUUCACAGCCGAAGCAAAAGUGUUAAGUACCCCGCCUGGGGAGUAUGGUCGCAAGGCUG